UCCUUAAUGGUCCAGUGGUUAGGACUCAGCAUUUUCACUGCUGAGGUCCCAGGUUCAAUGCCUGGGUGGGUAA